rnacentral:lncRNA from 1 species
UUUGCAACAAUUGCAAAGACACCCCUCCACGAAACAGCCCAAACUGCACUGCGUACUGGUACACGGGUUUGUGUACCGGUACACAUCCCACGAACCAGCCCAACCCGAGCCUCGGGUUGGCGCACUGGCUGCCAGGGCCGAUGGCUGUACCGGUACAGCCAUCACCGCGUACCGGCACACAGCCCUGCAGCAUGCUACCCGAGAGCACACUAAAAUCCAACCUUUUGGGUUUGGUGCCAAGUUUUUAAACCUCAAUUCUCGAGACUCGAACUAUAGGUCGGAACACUGUCUACGACCCUCUACAAAGUGUGGAACAACUCGGAACACAAUCAAACACUCGAACCUCGCUAUUUGCAAUGGUUCAGUGUGUUACAUUCACCCCUCCUAAAAAGGAGUUUCGUCCGCGAAACUCGAAAGCAA